rnacentral:rRNA from 1 species
UGUAGGAUAGGUGGGAGGCUUUGAAGUGUGGACGCCAGUCUGCAUGGAGCCGACCUUGAAAUACCACCCUUUAAUGUUUGAUGUUCUAACGUGGACCCGUGAUCCGGGUUGCGGACAGUGUCUGGUGGGUAGUUUGACUGGGGCGGUCUCCUCCUAAAGAGUAACGGAGGAGCACGAAGGUUGGCUAAUCCUGGUCGGACAUCAGGAGGUUAGUGCAAUGGCAUAAGCCAGCUUGACUGCGAGCGUGACGGCGCGAGCAGGUGCGAAAGCAGGUCAUAGUGAUCCGGUGGUUCUGAAUGGAAGGGCCAUCGCUCAACGGAUAAAAGGUACUCCGGGGAUAACAGGCUGAUACCGCCCAAGAGUUCAUAUCGACGGCGGUGUUUGGCACCUCGAUGUCGGCUCAUCACAUCCUGGGGCUGAAGUAGGUCCCAAGGGUAUGGCUGUUCGCCAUUUAAAGUGGUACGCGAGCUGGGUUUAGAACGUCGUGAGACAGUUCGGUCCCUAUCUGCCGUGGGCGCUGGAGAACUGAGGGGGGCUGCUCCUAGUACGAGAGGACCGGAGUGGACGCAUCACUGGUGUUCGGGUUGUCAUGCCAAUGGCACUGCCCGGUAGCUAAAUGCGGAAGAGAUAAGUGCUGAAAGCAUCUAAGCACGAAACUUGCCCCGA